GGGAUGCUAUGAGGAGACAUACUCCUCUAGACCCCAGAUCCGAAGUGGGAAUACAGCAGUUGGUUUCAUUAUUCAUAGGCCAGUCAGCAACAGAUAUCCUUUGGAAAUUGUAGAACAUGCGACUGACAGAUAGUAGGAACCUAGAGACACUUAGACACGGUUACAUCCCUAACCCCACCUUGAUGAUAAUUUUGUUACUGUAAACGGGGCAGCUGGCCAGAGUGAAAAGGCCUAUUUCCUUAAACCCCUAAGAUAUACAUUGGGAAAACAAGUGAGAAUACACAAAUUCUUGUACAUGCUGAACUCUCCAAAACCUCUGCUGGAAUGGGACUUGUUAGAGCAAUUAGGGGCAGAAAUAAAAUUUGAAUCAGGAAAAAAUGAGUUUAAGGUAAAAGAUGACCAAUUAAUAGAGAUAUUAAGUUUAGCUCUUGACAGCGUCCCAGCUCAGACAGGGGUACCAAAGGGGAUUAAAAACCAGGUUUAUCCAAGGGUGUGGGCUAUUGAAAUGCCUAGCUGAGCCAAAACCACCGCCCCCUAUAGUAUUUAGGUUAAAGUCAGGGGUUCAACCUGUAAGGAUAAAGCAAUAUCCCUUAAGGAUUGAAGACAGGGAAUUCAAACGAUAAUUGAUCAAUUUAUCAAAACCAGGCUGCUAAAAGAAUGUGAAUCAGAUUAUAAUAUCCCUAUCCUGCCUGUAAAGAAACCAGAUGGGAACUAUUGGAUUGUACAAGAUUUGAGGGAUGUAAAUAAAAUAGCCGAAUAUUUGCACCCAUUGGUGAGAAAUCUGUACACGUUGCUCUUAAAAUGAAUCAAUGAAUUGGCUUGGUUUACCGUGUUGGAUCUAAAGGGCGCCUUCUUCUGCCUGUCCCUUGCCUCAGACAGUCAGCCUAUUUUUGCAUUUGAAUGGGAAAACUCAGAUUCAGGAAGAAAACCACAACUAACACGGACUGUUCUCUCCCAGGGGUUUAAAAAUAGUCCCACUCUUCUUGGGAAUCAGCUUGCAAAAGAUCUUGAACAAUGGGAGCACCCACCCGGGAAAGGGGCGCUUCUACAGUAUGUGGGCGACUUACUGAUAGCCACCAGUGAGAAGGAACAAUGAGAAAAUUGGACAGUUAGUUUGUUGAACUUCCUCGGUCUUAAUGGAUAUCGAGUCUCUCCACAGAAAGCCCAGAUUGCCUUGCAACCGGUGACCUGUUUGGGAUAUGAAAUCACUGCCAGGCUGUGACCCCUGGGAACAGCAAGGAAAGGAGCCAUUUGCCAGACUCCUGAGCCAUGAACAGUUAGGGAGCUCCACACGUUCUUGAUGGAAAUUUUGGAGAACCAAUAUCACAUGGCUGCUUGGAAAUGAUUGAGGCCGUGUAUUCAAGCCAUCCAGACCUGAAAGAAGAACUGCUGGAGGAUGCUGAGGACACCUGGUACACCUGGUACAGCUUCGUGCGACAGGGCACACAUAAAGUAGGAUAUGCGGUAACAGCUACUGACCAGGUAAUCGAGUCAGGAAGCCUUGACUCCAACUCCUCAGCACAAAAGGCAGAAAUAAUAGCCUUAACCCGAGCUUUGGAACUAGGAAAAGGAAAGAAAAUUAACAUAUGGACAGACUCAAAAUAUGCUUUCGGAGUAGUGUAUGCCCACGGGGCUACGUGGAAUAAAAGAGGAAGUUGGCAAUGCUCUGGCAGACAAAGAGGCCAAAAGGGUGGCGGAGGAAGGGGAGGCAGACAUACAGUCUCUGAUCCCAGACGAUUCACCAUUGGAACCUAAGUGGGAGGGCCUGUUCCAAGUGCUGCUGACUUCUCACACUAUCAAGAUAAAAGAACAAGCUCCCUGGAUUCAUCACACCCUGGUUAAGAAGGCACAGAAGCCAUCCUGGACAGUUAAGCCAACAGGACUGCUCUGACUAUCGCUCAAGAAACAGAAUGAUUAAUGUUGUGUUUGUAGUGUGGGGUUUAGGGGUUGCCGGGGCAUGGGAAGGAAAUUUACAUUCUAACAACACCGAAGGAAUGGCGAAUGCCUUAAAUCUAUCCUCUUGCUGGACAUGCACAGCCCUCCCCAGAGGGAAUAUGGAAUCUCCCCUUUUUGGCGUUCCAGUGUCCUAUGCAAAUUGGAGUUGGCCAUAUGACAAUCUAAAAAAUUCUACCCUGCCUACCGGGGAAAGCUUCCUCUGGAGGGUGGGGGAAUCCUGCCCUCCAGGACAGCAACUAAGCAAACUUCCAAAUGGGGAGACCCUUUGCUGGGGCUUCUCAUCCCCCUUACCAGCUAGAGGAACCCCGGUGCCGUCUUACACUUGCGGAAACAAUAGCAUUCAUUCUCUUAAAUUUGAGUUACGGGAACUGGGGAAAACAAUAUUUAUACAAAGGAAGAAUGACACUGCCCCAAGAGUGGGACACUUUAAAUUAAGUGCUCUUAAUGGAGCAACCGUAUGCAGCAAGGAUACCCAGUCAGACUCUUCAGGAUGUCCGGCACCAAUCAUGGCAGGACUACUACUCAAUUACUCCUAUAGUUGUGUACCAGAUGGAUUAUGGUGGCUAUGUGGGGAUGGCCAUGCCAGAAAAUCCUUGCCAGACCACUGGGAUGGGACCUGUACUUUGGGGUAUGUUAUCCCUCAGAGCAGAGUGUUUAAUCAGACAAGGCCACCAGCAGGAUUAUUAAGGACAUUGUGGACAAAGACUAAACGACAGCUUCCAACCCGCUAGUCGAUAGGCCAACGGGAUAUCACAGCUUUGUGCGUUGGCUCAUUCCGUCUCCAGGAGUGAGUGAAUUAGAAAAGGCAUUAGUAAAUAUUUCUGCCACAUCGGAGAAAAAAGACAGUUUUACCAUAGACGCACUGAGAGCAUUACAGGUUGAAGUGAGCUCUCUGCUGUAGUACUGCAAAACCGAAUGGCAUUAGACUUGUUGAUGGCCAAAGAAGGCAGACUGUGCACUGCAAUCAAAGUUGCUGCUCAUCCAUAAAACAAGACAAAAGAAUUGAGAGAGAUCUUGAGAAAUUUAGGGAACAAUCAAAACUCUUCCAUCUAGCACUGAUGGAUGAUACCAUGUGGGGUUUUCCAGAAAUUUGGGAUAAGCUUACCAGGUGGUUACUUCAUUUUAGGAUCAGGCAGCUUUCUCUCGCUUGCAUUGCUGUUAUUUCUUGGGAUUUUUAUAUUCUGUAUUUUAUGCUGUUUCCUUUUCCUAUGUCAUCAAACCGGGAGUAGCUACGAGGAACGGAAGAUGCACAGGCUGAGGCAAAGGAUAGAAGAAGGGAAGUAUUUUCUAGAUAGAAACAGAAUAAUCUGUCAAGGAGCAGACAGAUUUUCUAGAUUAAAAAGCAAAGGGGGAAUUGAGAGAAAGAAAGACUAAUUGAUGUCCUUAUAGUGAGGGGCCCAGAACUGAGCACAGCACUCGAGGUGCGGCCUCACCAGAGCAGAGCACAGGGGAACCAUCACCUCCCUGUGCCUGCUGGCUGCACUACUCCUGAUGCAAGCCAGGAUGCCACUGGCCUAAGAAGCCUCCUACGUGGGGAGGGCGCAGGGAUGUGCUUUACUGGUAAAUAAAGAUGGUAAAUAAAAA